rnacentral:rRNA from 1 species
AUGUUGAAAAAGUCCGGAUUGGAGAUCAACCCCAACAACUUCAUUGACAUGCAGCGCAAGUGGAAAGUUCCAACCACAAACAAAUUCUACGACUCCUUGGUCGAUGUUGCAGCCAGUGUCAUCCACCUGUUCUACAAAGGCAUGAAGGAUAACAUCAACAAGGAGGAAGACUACAAACUGUGGGGGAUCAGCCCGCUGCCAGACAAGCUCAUCGAGUAUGCCAGAAAAGAUGCGUACGCCACGUACAAGUCGUGGAAGAUAAUCGCCAAAAUCGUGACAGGUUGGGAUAUUUCAAAAGAGCAGGAGGCUGACCCCUACUACCACUGCAACUUCGCAGGAUGA